ensembl:lncRNA
GAGGAAGCGAGCGCGGCGGGGCCGCCGCCGGGACCGUGCCCCCGAAGACCCCGGGGCGCGCAGCGGAGGGGGCGGCGAGGGAGGCCCCAAGCCAGGGUGACGACAGCUUGAAGAACCAGAGGCGACGGGAGCGGAGGCGGCGGUGGCGGCGGCAGCAGCGGCGUCCGGCUCUGCCUACCUCCCCGCCGCCAUCUUGACGCCCCUCCCCCAACCCCCCCGCCCCACGGGGAGGGGGUGGGGCGACGGAUGAGGCGCCGCGCGCACGCAGCGCGCGCCGCGCGACCCACGUGACUUCCUCCCUCCCCCCAACACCCUACUCCCUAGCACUCCUCUCCGCCCCGCCUCCGUCCUAGGUGAAGGAAGAUGAUUUCCACCCCCCCAUGACUGCCCCCUGCCUUCGCCGCCAAGCACGAACUCCGUCGCUCCCGCCGACCGGGUACCAGUGGUUGGAUCCAAGGGAAUUCCGGAACCCAAACGGUCCAUUACCGCGGCUCCCGGGUGGGCGAGGGG